rnacentral:rRNA from 1 species
UACGUAGGGUGCAAGCGUUAAUCGGAAUUACUGGGCGUAAAGCGUGCGCAGGCGGUUCGUUGUGUCCGAUGUGAAAGCCCCGAGCUCAACUUGGGAAUGGCAUUGGAAACUGGCGGGCUGGAGUGUGGCAGAGGGGGGUGGAAUUCCACGUGUAGCAGUGAAAUGCGUAGAUAUGCGGAGGAACACCGAUGGCGAAGGCAAUCCCCUGGGCCUGCACUGACGCUCAUGCACGAAAGCGUGGGGAGCAAACAGG